rnacentral:rRNA from 1 species
AUGAAUAAUAUGCUUUUGGCCGAGUAUACCAGGGAGGAGGUUUGCAAGGCUUUGUUCCAAAUAGGUGAUCUGAAGGCCCCGGGCCUAGAUGGACUUCACGCUAUUUUCUUUAAAAGAUUCUGGCACAUUGUGGGAGAGGAGUUGACAGAUGAGGCGUUGAAUGCUAUAUGUCAUAGAAAGAUCCAUACAGGUUGGAACUCAACGAACGUGACUCUCAUACCUAAGGUAAAUUCCCUCGAGGUGAUAACACAGUAUAGACCAAUAAGCUUGUGUAACGUGGUCUAUAAAAUCAUUUCGAAAAUGAUUGCAAAUAGACUUAAGCGGAUUCUCCCUGACAUUAUUUCUCCAACACAAAGUGCCUUCGUACCGGGAAGAUUAAUUACUGAUAAUGUGUUGGUAGCUUAUGAAUGUUUUCAUGCAAUCAAGAAAAAAACUCAUGGGUCAAAUGGGCUCUAUGCGGUAAAGUUGGAUAUGAAUAAAGCUUAUGACCGUGUUGAAUGGGGCUUUUUGGAGAAGAUAAUGUUGCAGAUGGGGUUUCAUGCACAAUGGGUGGAGCUCAUCAUGGAGUGUGUAUCCUCAGUAACCUACAGAGUCAGAUUUAACAACACCGAAACUGAUGAGUUUUCUCCUACAAGAGGCUUGAGGCAGGAUGACCCUAUAUCACCUUAUUUUUUAUUGUGUUCUGAAGGUCUCUCAAGUCUGCUUGCUCAUGAAUAGGAAAUGGGUGAAUUAGAUGGCGUGCGAGUGUGCAGGAAGGCCCCCUCAAUCUCGCAUCUGUUAUUUGCAGACGAAUCCCUGAUUCUUAUGAAGGUGGAUACCCAUAAUGCAGAUACUUUAAAAGGAGUUUUGGAGACCUAUUGCUCUAGUUCAGGGCAGCUGAUCAGUAAUGCAAAGUCAAGCAUAUAUUUUAGUCUGAAUACAAAUGUCCAAACCAGGGAAAAUAUUUGCAGAGAAUUAAAUAUUGUGACAGAAGCUUUAUCUGAUACGUAUUUGGGCCUACCGACUAUGGUAGGGGUGGACAGAAGCGACUGUUUUCAACACUUGAUUGAUAGAGUUUGUUAGAGGCUGAAGGGGUGGAAAGAGAAAACACUCUUGAUGCAAGGUAAAGAGAUAUUGGUAAAAUUAGUUGCCCAAGCGAUUCCUUCCUAUGCAAUGUCAGUUUUCAAACUUCCAAAAGGAAUCUGCAAAUCUAUUACUGAUGAAAUUGCUGGCUUUUGGUGGGGAGAUGAUGAAGAUAAGAAUAAAAUGUAUUGGUUUGCCUGGUGGAGAUUAUGCAUACCGAAGAAGGAAGGGGGAUUAGGGUUUAGGGACUUGCACAGUUUUAAUCUUGCUUUACUAGCAAAACAGUGUUGGCGACUAAUCCAGAACCCGGAUUCUUUAUGUGCUCAAGUUUUGAAGGCAAAGUAUUACCCAAACGGUGACAUUUUGAAUGCGGGGCCCAAGAAGAGCUCUUCUUACACUUCGCAGAGCAUUGUGGCUGACAUUCAGACUUUCAAGAGAGGUUGCAUUUGGCAUGUUGGAUCCGGAGCUAAUAUUGAUAUUUGGAAUGACCCCUGGAUACCAUCUAGUGCUACUAGAAAACUGAUUACACACAGAGGUGCAACAAUGCUAUCAAAGGUUGACGAGUUAGUAAAUCCACAUACGGGACAAUGGGACGAAUAA